AGAUUGAACGCUGGCGGAAUGCUUUACACAUGCAAGUCGAGCGGCAGCGCGGGGCAACCUGGCGGCGAGCGGCGAACGGGUGAGUAAUGCAUCGGAACAUGUCCAUGUCGUGGGGGGAUAGCCCGGCGAAAGCCGGAUUAAUACCGCAUACGCCCGAGAGGGGAAAGCCGGGGACCGCAAGGCCUGGCGCGAUGGGUUGGCCGAUGUCCGAUUAGCUAGUUGGCGGGUAAGAGCCCACCAAGGCGAUGAUCGGUAGCUGGUCUGAGAGGAUGAUCAGCCACACUGGGACUGAGACACGGCCCAGACUCCCUACGGGAGGCAGCAGUGGGGGAAUUUUGG
rnacentral:rRNA from 1 species